rnacentral:rRNA from 1 species
CGCAGCCGCGGUAAUUCCAGCUCCAAUAGCGUAUAUUAAAGUUGCUGCAGUUAAAAAGCUCGUAGUUGAAUUUCGGGACCAUCAUGUCGGUCGUGCCUCGGUACGUACUGGCAUUGUUGGUUUCUACCUUCUGACGAACCAUGAUGUCAUUAAUUUGGUGUCUUGGGGAAUCAGGACUGUUACUUUGAAAAAAUUAGAGUGUUUAAAGCAGGCUCGCGCUUGAAUACAUUAGCAUGGAAUAAUGAAAUAGGACGUUUGAUUCUAUUUUGUUGGUUUCUAGGAUUGACGUAAUGAUUAAUAGGGAUAGUUGGGGGCAUUAGUAUUCAAUUGUCAGAGGUGAAAUUCUUGGAUUUAUUGAAGACUAACUACUGCGAAAGCAUUUGCCAAGGAUGUUUUCAUUAAUCAAGAACGAAAGUUAGGGGAUCGAAGACGAUCAGAUACCGUCGUAGUCUUAACCAUAAACUAUGCC